GACGAACGCUGGCGGCGUGCUUAACACAUGCAAGUCGAACGGAAAGGCCCUGCUUUUGUGGGGCGCUCGAGUGGCGAACGGGUGAGUAACACGUGAGUAACCCGCCCCUGACUGUGGGAUAACUUCAGGAAACUGGGGCUCAUACCGGAUAUGAGCUCUUGCUGCAUGGUGGGGGAUGGAAAGUUUCGGCGGUUGGGGAUGGACUCGCGGCUUAUCAGCUUGUUGGUGGGGUAGUGGCUUACCAAGGCUUUGACGGGUAGCCGGCCUGGGAGGGUGACCGGCCACAUUGGGACUGAGAUACGCCCCAGACUCCUACGGGAGGCAGCAGUGGGGAAUAUUGCACAAUGGGCGGAAGCCUGAUGCGGAAACGCCCCGUGCGGAAUGCCGGCCUUCGGGUUGUAAACCGCUUUCGCCUGUGACGAGGCGUUAGUGACGGUAAUGGGUAAAGAAGCACCGGCUAACUACGUG
rnacentral:rRNA from 1 species